AGUCUACGGGAGGCAGCAGUGAGGAAUAUUGGUCAAUGGGCGAGAGCCUGAACCAGCCAAGUCGCGUGAAGGAAGACAGUCCUAAGGAUUGUAAACUUCUUUUAUACGGGAAUAACGGGCGAUACGAGUAUUGCAUUGAAUGUACCGUAAGAAUAAGCAUCGGCUAACUCCGUGCCAGCAGCCGCGGUAAUGACU
rnacentral:rRNA from 1 species